rnacentral:rRNA from 1 species
UACGUAGGGUGCAAGCGUUAAUCGGAAUUACUGGGCGUAAAGCGUGCGCAGGCGGUUUUGUAAGCCAGAUGUGAAAUCCCCGGGCUUAACCUGGGAAUGGCAAUUGGGACUGCAAGGCUGGAGUUUGGCAGAGGAGACUGGAAUUCCCGGUGUAGCAGUGAAAUGCGUAGAUAUCGGGAGGAAUACCGAUGGCGGAGGCAGGUCUCUGGGCUAUAACUGACGCUCAUGCACGAAAGCGUGGGGAGCAAACAGG